rnacentral:snoRNA from 1 species
GGGUCUGUAGUGACAAACGAAUGAUAUGAAGAGAAGAGAUGAUAUAAAAACCAUGAUUAAAAGGGUUAUGCUGAAGCCC